rnacentral:pre_miRNA from 1 species
GUAUGAAUCACUAGAGAGCUUGUUAAAAGGCAGGUUUUGAUGCACUAGGUCUGGGGAUACCUGAGAUUUUGUAUUUUUAACAAGCUCUCAGGUGAUGUGUAU